ensembl:snoRNA SNORD113-3 small nucleolar RNA, C/D box 113-3
UUGACCAAUGAUGAGCGUUCUGGGGUGUCUGAGUCAGUGAUUCUGAUUAAACCCUGUAACUCUGAGGUCCCU